CAGAACUGGCCAACCAGAACCGGGACUGACCGACCAGAACCAGGACUGACCAACCAGAACCAGGACUGACCAACUGGAACAAAAACUGACCGACCAGAACCAGGACUGACCAACCAAACCAGGACUGGCCAGUUCUCUGAUCCAGGUUUAUAGUCUUCGGUGUUCUGCAUGUUUCGGUUUCCUGCAGAAAUCGGUGACAGCAGGUUAGCUGACAUAACGGCUGUUGCCCAGGGCACCAACUGCUGAGGGGCGGCUGCUGCAGUGACUUAAAAAUAAAAUACAAUAAACAAAAUGAAAUAAAAA